rnacentral:rRNA from 1 species
AUGAUAGAGCGCUUCCAGGGCGAAGAGAAGAUCUACCACAGUUUUGAUAGUGCAGAGGAUGAUCCACAUGGCUACUAUGCCCCCGAGUUCCUCAACAACCUGACUCCCAAUGGCCUGCCUCCGCAUGCGCUCAAACUAAAGAUAAAUUGCCCGGUUAUACUGUUGAGAAAUAUUGAUCCAGCUAAUGGGUUGUGUAACGACACAAGGCUUGUGGUCCGGGGUUUCCAAAGGAACGCCAUCGACGCAGAAAUCGUGCUAGGACAACAUGCUGGUAGGAGGGUGUUCCUUCCUCGGAUACCUCUCUGCCCAUCCGAUGACGAUAUAUUCCCUUUCAAGUUCAAGAGGAAGCAGUUCCCUAUUAGGCUCAGCUUUGCCAUGACAAUCAACAAGGCGCAAGGGCAAACCAUCCCCAUUGUCGGGGUUUACCUACCGGACCCGAUUUUCUCUCACGGUCAGCUUUACGUCGCUUUGUCUAGAGCCACCGCGAAGAGGAACAUUAAGAUUCUCGCCAUCAAGGACAAUGACAAUGGUAAGGGCAAGGGCAAGGACGAAAGCAAGAAUUCAAAGAAGCGAAAAAGAUCUGAGCCCUUAUUAAUAACCACGAAGAACAUAGUCUACAAAGAAGUCCUUAGCACAUGA